CUAUAAUGCAGUCGAGCGAACUGAUUAGAAGCUUGCUUCUAUGACGUUAGCGGCGGACGGGUGAGUAACACGUGGGCAACCUGCCUGUAAGACUGGGAUAACUUCGGGAAACCGAAGCUAAUACCGGAUAGGAUCUUCUCCUUCAUGGGAGAUGAUUGAAAGAUGGUUUCGGCUAUCACUUACAGAUGGGCCCGCGGUGCAUUAGCUAGUUGGUGAGGUAACGGCUCACCAAGGCAACGAUGCAUAGCCGACCUGAGAGGGUGAUCGGCCACACUGGGACUGAGACACGGCCCAGACUCCUACGGGAGGCAGCAGUAGGGAAUCUUCCGCAAUGGACGAAAGUCUGACGGAGCAACGCCGCGUGAGUGAUGAAGGCUUUCGGGUCGUAAAACUCUGUUGUUAGGGAAGAACAAGUACGAGAGUAACUGCUUGUACCUUGACGGUACCUAACCAGAAAGCCACGGCUAACUACGUGCCAGCAGCCGCGGUAAUACGUAGGUGGCAAGCGUUAUCCGGAAUUAUUGGGCGUAAAGCGCGCGCAGGCGGUUUCUUAAGUCUGAUGUGAAAGCCCACGGCUCAACCGUGGAGGGUCAUUGGAAACUGGGGAACUUGAGUGCAGAAGAGAAAAGCGGAAUUCCACGUGUAGCGGUGAAAUGCGUAGAGAUGUGGAGGAACACCAGUGGCGAAGGCGGCUUUUUGGUCUGUAACUGACGCUGAGGCGCG
rnacentral:rRNA from 2 species